GAUGAACGCUGGCGGCAGGCCUAACACAUGCAAGUCGAGCGGCAGCGCGGGGGCAACCCUGGCGGCGAGCGGCGGACGGGUGAGGAAUUCGUCGGAAUCUGCCUUUUUGUGGGGGAUAACGUAGGGAAACUUACGCUAAUACCGCAUACGACCUACGGGUGAAAGUGGGGGACCGCAAGGCCUCACGCAGAAAGAUGAGCCGACGACCGAUUAGCUAGUUGGUGGGGUAAAGGCCCACCAAGGCGACGAUCGGUAGCUGGUCUGAGAGGAUGAUCAGCCACACUGGGACUGAGACACGGCCCAGACUCCUACGGGAGGCAGCAGUGGGGAAUAUUGGACAAUGGGCGCAAGCCUGAUCCAGCCAUGCCGCGUGUGUGAAGAAGGCCUUCGGGUUGUAAAGCACUUUUGUCCGGAAAGAAAUCUUCCAACUUAAUACGUUGGGAGGAUGACGGUACCGGAAGAAUAAGCACCGGCUAACUUCGUGCCAGCAGCCGCAGUAA
rnacentral:rRNA from 1 species